GGAAUUUUCCGCAAUGGGCGAAAGCCUGACGGAGCAAUACCGCGUGAGGGAUGACGGCCUGUGGGUUGUAAACCUCUUUUCUCAAGGAAGAAGUUCUGACGGUACUUGAGGAAUAAGCAUCGGCUAACUCUGUGCCAGCAGCCGCGGUAAUACAGAGGAUGCAAGCGUUAUCCGGAAUCACUGGGCAUAAAGCGUCUGUAGGUUGUUUAGUAUGUCUGCUGUUAAAUACUAGGGCUUAACCCUAGGCCAGCAGUGGAAACUGCUAGACUUGAGUGUGGUAGAGGUAGAGGGAAUUCCUAGUGUAGCGGUGAAAUGCGUAGAUAUUAGGAAGAACACCAAUGGCGAAGGCACUCUACUGGGCCAUUACUAACACUCAGAGACGAAAGCUAGGGUAGCAAAUGGGAUUAGAUACCCCAGUAGUC
rnacentral:rRNA from 1 species